rnacentral:rRNA from 1 species
UACCCUUCUCUAAGGAAUAGCCACUGGAAACGGUGAGUAAUACCUUAUACGCCCUUCGGGGAAAGAUUUAUCGGAGAGGGAUCAGCCCGCGUUAGAUUAGAUAGUUGGUGGGGUAACGGCCUACCAAGUCUACGAUCUAUAGCUGGUUUUAGAGGAUGAUCAGCAACACUGGGACUGAGACACGGCCCAGACUCCUACGGGAGGCAGCAGUGGGGAAUCUUGGACAAUGGGCGCAAGUGAUCCAGCCAUGCCGCGUGAGUGAUGAAGGCCUUAGGGUCGUAAAGCUCUUUCGCCAGGGAUGAUAAUGACAGUACCUGGUAAAGAAACCCCGGCUAACUCCGUGCCAGCAGCCGCGGUAAUACGGAGGGGGUUAGCGUUGUUCGGAAUUACUGGGCGUAAAGCGUACGUAGGCGGAUCAGAAAGUUGGGGGUGAAAUCCCGGGGCUCAACCCCGAACUGCCUCCAAAACUCCUGGUCUAGAGUUCGAGAGAGGUGAGUGGAAUUCCGAGUGUAGAGGUGAAAUUCGUAGAUAUUCGGAGGAACACCAGUGGCGAAGGGGCUCACUGGCUCGAUACUGACGCUGAGGUACGAAAGUGUGGGGAGCAAACAGGAUUAGAUACCCUGGUAGUCCACACCGUAAACGAUGAAUGCCAGUCGUCGGGUAGCAUGCUAUUCGGUGACACACCUAACGGAUUAAGCAUUCCGCCUGGGGAGUACGGUCGCAAGAUUAAAACUCAAAGGAAUUGACGGGG